CAGCCGCCGCGGGAAUACGUAGGUGGCAAGCGUUGUCCGGAAUUAUUGGGCGUAAAGGGCUCGCAGGCGGUUUCUUAAGUCUGAUGUGAAAGCCCCCGGCUCAACCGGGGAGGGUCAUUGGAAACUGGGAAACUUGAGUGCAGAAGAGGAGAGUGGAAUUCCACGUGUAGCGGUGAAAUGCGUAGAGAUGUGGAGGAACACCAGUGGCGAAGGCGACUCUCUGGUCUGUAACUGAUGCUGAGGAGCGAAAGCGUGGGGAGCGAACAGGAUUAGAUACCCCAGUAGUCCCUGUCUCUUAUAC
rnacentral:rRNA from 1 species